rnacentral:rRNA from 1 species
GACGAACGCUGGCGGCGUGCUUAACACAUGCAAGUCGAGCGGUAAGGCCCUUCGGGUACACGAGCGGCGAACGGGUGAGUAACACGUGGGUGACCUGCCCUCAGCUCUGGGAUAAGCCCGGGAAACUGGGUCUAAUACCGGAUAUGACCUUCUGUCGCAUGACGGUUGGUGGAAAGUUCUUCGGCUGGGGAUGGGCCCGCGGCCUAUCAGCUUGUUGGUGGGGUGAUGGCCUACCAAGGCGGNGACGGGUAGCCGGCCUGAGAGGGCGACCGGCCA